AUGGAUUUUUCUGGAGUUCCUUCACCUCGAAUGGACUGGGAGUCUACAAACUUACCCGAUGCAUGGCGUAAGUACAAACAGCAUGUGGAGCUAAUGUUCACGGGUCCUCUGAAGGAAAGAGGAGAAGAGGAAAAAUGUAGCUACCUGCUCCUCUGGAUCGGGGAAAAAGGGAGAGAUAUUUACAACACAUGGACACUUACCGAGGCUGAAUCAAAGGUACUGAAAACAUACUACGAUCGUUUUGAAGCAUAUGUUGUGCCGAAGACUAAUACAAUUUUCGCUAGGUACAAAUUCCAUGAGAAAGUACAGGGAGCUAGCGAGUCUUUUGAACAGUUUGUGACUGAGCUGCGUCUGCUUGUGAAAGACUGUGAUUAUGCAAACAAGGAUGAGAUGGUCAGGGACCGUAUUGUAUUUGGGUCUGAGCUAACGCUAGACAAAGCUAUCGACAUAGCCAGAUCUCACGAGCUAGCACAGGCUCAGAUGAAAACCAUUUCGCGCCGCAGCAUGAGCGCAUCACGUGAACAAGCAGUGCACGCAGUCAGGCAGACAUCAAAGCACACCUCCGGUGCCCACAGAGCGCGUUUCAGAACCGAGAGAGACAUAACUCCAAAACAGAGCAACACAGACUCAAAACGCCCCAAAACAUGUGGAUAUUGUGGAUACAAAGUGCGUGGCGAACAAGGAAAUUGCCCAGCUAAAGGCAAACAGUGUACAAAAUGUGGUAAAUGGAAUCACUUUGCAAAAAUGUGCAGAGCUUACCGUGGAAAAACUGUACACACAGUGAGUGAAGAUGAAAUGUCAAAUGAUGAUGAACUGUUUAUUGAUUCAGUGACACAAAAAAGUCACAUAUCAGAGACAGAGCAAGCCUUUGCUGACAUUGAGAUAGGAACACAAGGCACAAAGCUAAAGUUCAAACUAGACACUGGUGCACAAGUAAACAUUAUUCCUCUGAAUAAGUACCGCAGCUUGACAUCUGAGUGCGAGCUACAGCCCACCAUGCGCAGACUGACUGGUUAUGGUGGUGAACAGCUCCCAGUAAAAGGCACAUGCACUUUCAAAUGCAAAUACAAGGAAAGUGACAUGAUGUUGGACUUUUACAUUGUUGACACUAGAGCACCUGCAGUGCUAGGUCUUAAAGCAUGUUUAGACAUGGACCUCAUCAAGCUAGUUUUAUCAGUAACAGCACCAGUAGAGACAGAAAAUGUACUGGAGGAGUUUGCUGAUGUCUUUACAGGAAUAGGAUUAUUCCCAGGAGAAUGUACCAUUCACCUUGACCCAGACGCAACCCCUGUGGUCUACCCCCCGAGAAAGAUUCCCCUUGCUCUCCGUGCCCGUCUGAAGAAAGAGUUGGAGAGCAUGGAGCAAUCUGACAUAGUCACCAAGGUUACAGAACCGACUGACUGGGUAAACGCGUUAGUGGUGGUGGAGAAACCACGCACAGGCAAGCUCCGAGUAUGCCUCGACCCAAGAGACUUGAACAAGGCUAUCAAACGGCCCCAUUACCCUUUACCGACGCUAGAUGGCAUCACACACAAGCUAGCGGGAGCACACUACUUCUGUGUCAUGGACGCUAGAUCAGGCUACUGGGCUAUCAAGCUCACAGAAGAGUCAUCUAAGCUCACAACAUUCAACACACCGUUUGGACGCUACAGGUUCCGUCGCCUGCCUUUUGGGAUUAUCUCAGCCCAAGACGAGUUUCAGCGAAAGAUCGACGAAGUGUACAAAGGCCUCGACGGAGUUGUGGCAAUUGUGGAUGACAUCCUUGUCUAUGGUCGAACCAAAGAGGAGCACAACCGAAACCUCCGCGCGAUGCUGCAAAGACAGGGAAGGCAAUCAAAACGUGAAGGAGUCCAGGUGAGUACAAUGAGCGCUGAUGCGCGUAAUGAUGGUGACCGGUGUGCGUAA
ensembl:lncRNA